AUUGAACGCUGGCGGCAUGCCUUACACAUGCAAGUCGAACGGUAACAGGUCUUCGGAUGCUGACGAGUGGCGAACGGGUGAGUAAUACAUCGGAACGUGCCCGAGAGUGGGGGAUAACGAAGCGAAAGCUUUGCUAAUACCGCAUACGAUCUCAGGAUGAAAGCAGGGGACCGCAAGGCCUUGCGCUCACGGAGCGGCCGAUGGCAGAUUAGGUAGUUGGUGGGAUAAAAGCUUACCAAGCCGACGAUCUGUAGCCGGUCUGAGAGGACGACCAGCCACACUGGGACUGAGACACGGCCCAGACUCCUACGGGAGGCAGCAGUGGGGAAUUUUGGACAAUGGGCGCAAGCCUGAUCCAGCCAUGCCGCGUGCAGGAUGAAGGCCUUCGGGUUGUAAACUGCUUUUGUACGGAACGAAAAGACUCUGGUUAAUACCUGGGGUUCAUGACGGUACCGUAAGAAUAAGCACCGGCUAACUACGUGCCAGCAGCCGCCGUAA
rnacentral:rRNA from 1 species